GCAUUAUAAAGGUGGCAGAUUGCUCAUCAAGAAUCCUUGACACUUUGUCCAAACUCAGAGAAUUUGCAUUUGGCCCUAGAGAUACAUUUCUUCUGACUAGAUGGAUGAACUGAAUGGACUUGAUGCUCCAGAAUGAAUUUGAAGCUGCUGAGUGCUUGUUGGCAAUGAACUUCAAGUGUUUCCAAAGGUCAAGAACAAUCUUACUUCUAAAUGGAAGAAUCAUCAGUGAAACUUCAUAAAGGGAUCGGGUGUGAGGAAGUGCAGCAUUGGAAAGCCAGAUCAGAGUGAGCUGUGUGAAAACCAGGCAGCAGCAGACGGCUUGGCACACAUGAUAAUGGAGUGCAACAGACUGUUUCAGGUAUGUAACAUAGUGGAUGAAAAAAGGCAAGGUAUAAGUAGUUAGAA